ACACUGUAGUACGGCUGCCUCCAUAUCAUUGUGACCUCAAUCCUAUUGAAUUGAUAUGGGGAAUUGCAAAACAUAAAAUUGCCUCUGUCAAUGUAGGGUCCAUUGACAUAAAGAUGGCAGCUGAACAAGCAUUCCAAGCGAUUACUGCCGAAGAUUG